CUGCCUUCGGGAGCCGCUGGUAAUGGCUGCUGCAUUCCUGGCCGGAUGUCGGUCACCCAGGAGGGCAGACACCUUAUGGACCUAAUGGCAGAUGCAGAUGCAGGUUUAGAUGGUGGCAGAGAAAGGCGGACAUGCAGAGCUGCCAAUAAGGAGUGAGAUAUCUUCCUGCAGAAUCAUUUUAAAAGGGCCUGGACUUGGGAGACUUGCUGGAGCUGAUGACGUGAAGUGUGGAUGUUCGUGGAGAAUGAGCGGAAGCUGGCAAAAUGUAGCAGAACAUGUUGACGGAGACCAGAGUCCCGGUUGCAGGGCCCCUGCUGGCCUGCUCAGGACUCCUGGAUGUGCGAGUUCAGACAUAGAUGCUGCACGAAAGAGCUGCCCUGAAACAAGUGUCCAGGAUGGGGUGGGAGCCACUUCCCUGAAAGAGAUGCGAUGUGGGGAUGAGCCUGCUCAGGCACCCUGCAGUAAGGGUCUUUGCAAGGAGAGAGGCUUGUCACCUCUGCGUGGAGUCCAGCUCCACGGCCACCAGGCGCCAUUCCGGGGGGAAGAUUCGGGCUAAGAGAGCUCUGCUCAGACCUGAGCCUUGAGUCGGACUCCUGGGGUGAGCGCUGCGUGACUGGAAGCAUUCAGUCAGGGGACAGAGGCACCUGACAGUGCCACAGAGGAACCACUGAGAGGAGGGGCCAGCAGGCUGGUGGCAGCCCAGGGUCUCCAACUUGCAGCUUCUGUGCGUCUUUGUUUACACUCUUAAUUUCAAGCAGCUGCUCCCCCAGACGUAGUUUCUAGAAGGCCACAUUAUAAUUCAAUUUGUAAAGGAAUAGAACAGCUUCCCACCAAGGAAAUUCAUUGCCAAAGAUGGUAGCUUCGCAUUGUUUCUUGCAGCCAGGUUUAAAGUCACCGUGGAGCUAGGGAUUUAGCUCAGUGGUUCCGGUGCCUGUCUUGAAAGCUCAAGGUCCUGAGUUCGAUCUCCGGUACCAAAAAAAAACACAUUAAAGUCACCAUGGACAAGGAAUCAGCCAAAGCAGAGCCAUGGCUGCCGGGGAAACGUCCUCGUUCCCACUGACCUCUGGUCACUGUGUGUCCCCUGGCCACCGUGCAUGCUUCUGCUCAGAUGACCGAUGCAGUGUUAACUGUGGCCCUGUAGACUUUGAUCUCCCAGCCCACGCCUGUGGGGUGACUCUUCUCUGACACCUGCCCUUUGUCCCCUCAGCAACUCUCAGCCCCAGGAAGGCAAACAGGCUAGAUCAACACAAAGCAAACUGGGGAAAUGGCCAGUCACUAGGCCACCGGAG
ensembl:lncRNA